CCCUUGCUAUCACCUUUAUUAUGAAGUUUAUUUUCUCUGUUAUACAAGUUAUAUUUGUUUUAGCGAUGCAAGAUAUAUUAGCGAAAAAAAUAUCUGUUCAUAACAUUAAACAUAUCACUGAUAAUAAAAAUAAUAAGAAUAAUAUAGUAGAUAAUCGGCGAAUAUCUACUGCUUCAAAAGAUUCUACUGAUCAAAUUAUGUCAUCAUUAUCGAGUACUCUAUCAUUAUCAAAUUUUUCGAUGCUGAAUUUGAAUCAGAAUAGCAAACAGUCUAUAUCUACAUCUAAUUUAGCAUUAAAUAACCGCUUUGUUCACUGUGAAGAUCUUUGGUGCGAAUAUAAUGAAGAAUGCUUGGUAAUUCAUUGUGGUCCUUGUGUUGCAACUCUUGAGGA
rnacentral:sRNA from 2 species